GAUGAUAGCUCAGAUGGAGUCUUGAGGACAGGGGGAGAUGAGAGAAGAGAAGACAAUGAUGCAACUUCACAGAAGAUGAUUAUUGGAGUAAUUCCAACUGGAGAUGAGCCUGAUGGUAGAGAUGAAGAUACAUCAAAUGCUGAACAAGAUCACACUCAGGGGGAGCAGCAAGUAUAUCAACCUGAAGGGUCAAGAUGGCGGAAAAACCUUCAGGUUUAUUCCCGAAGACACCGAGUAGAGAAGGAUCAGGUGCAGGGAGAGGAAGAUAUUUUAUUGAGACAGAGUUCUGAAACUCAAGGCUACUCAGACAUACAAGAGCCGAACUCGAGUCCUUCUGCAAGUGAUGGAAGCAAAACAAUACCCAGAAUGGAGGAAAGCUAUGAUGGAGGAGAUGGAGGCACUUGACAAAAACAAUACUUGGGUAAUGAUGAUGAUGGGAUAGCAUGCUUGAAGAAGAUGUUGGCAAAAUCAUUUGAAGUCAAGGAUCUGGGUUUUCUUCACUAUUUCCUAGGCAUUGAGGUUGUAUAUGGACCACAAGGUAUUUAUCUAUCCCAGCGAAAAUAUGUGCUUGAUUUACUUGCUGAGACUGGGAUGCUAGGGUGUAAACCAGCUUCCACACCUAUAGAGCUGAAUCAUCAUACUCGUGCUGACCUGGGUGACACACUAGAUAAAAAAAAUUACCAGAGACUUGUGGGGCGCUUGAUUUAUUUAUCACAUACUAGACCAGAUAUUGCAUAUGCUGUUAGUAUCGUCAGUCGAUAUAUGCAUGAUCCCAGAACCAGUCAUAUGGAUAUUGUAAAACGAAUCUUGAGAUAUCUUAAAAUCUGCCCUGGGAAGGGAAUUCUGUUUUCCA